AAAUGGAUCAUUCCCAUCAUACGGGGAUGAGCUGUAUGGACUCCAACAGUACCAUGCAACGUCCUCACCAUCACCCAACCACUUCAGCCUCACACUCCCGUGGUGGAGGAGACAGCAACAUGAUGAUGAUGAUGCCUAUGACCUUCUACUUUGGCUUUAAGAAUGUGGAACUACUGUUUUCCAGUUUGGUGAUCAAUACAGCUGGAGAAAUGGCUGGAGCUUUUGUGGCAGUGAUUAUACUAGCAGUGUUCUAUGAAGGACUCGAUAGCCCAAGAGAGCCUGCUGUGUAAGUCACAAGUCAGCUUUUGCUACAAUUCCAUGCCUGUCCCAGGACCAAAUGGAACCAUCCUUAUGUAGACACACAAAACUGUUGGGCAGCAGAUGCUGAGCUUUCCUCACCUCCUGCAAACAGUGCUGCACAUCAUCCAGGUGGUCAUAAGCUACCUCCUCAUGCUCAUCUUCAUGACCUACAAUGGGUACCUCUGCAUUGCAGUAACAGCAGGGGCCGGUACAAGAUACUUCCUCUUCAGCUGGAAGAAGGCAGUGGUAGUGGACAUCACAGAGUAU
rnacentral:lncRNA from 1 species